AUAAGAUUAGAGAAAGUCAGAAAUGCCUACAUAUACUGAUUAGAUGAUGAUGAUCUUCUCAGAUACCAUCUUACCGAUUUAUAAAAGCAAAGAGGAGACAAGUAAUCCACAGAACUAUAGACCUAUCACCAUUUUUAAAUGUUGUGUUGGUAAACGUUUACAUCUACACUGAACGAUAUAUAUUUACUUUUUUUUUGUCAGACGGAUACGAAGUGCUGCACGUAAACUACAGAGGUUUGCGCUCCAUUUAUUUCGUACUUGUAAAUGUAUGUAAGGGAUACAAGACGAAGAUGGUCUAUUAUGUCAGAUACGGGACUGGCACGAGCCGCGUAGCGGCGAGUGAUCAGUCCCGUAUCUGACACAAUAGACCAUCGAGUCUUGUAUCUUACUUAAAACAUUGUUCUAUCUAAAAACAAAUGCAUUUAAACGCACACAAAAAAACCCACGUACAAAUAAUCAUUGGUAUAGACAGAUAUAUUUACACCUUUCGUUUCUGAUUUGUUUUUAAUAAUUUUGAUAUAUUAGGAAUUCAUAAACUUUAAUGGCACACAAGGUCAAAUCUUGUCUUUAAUUCACAAAAAACUGUUAGCUCAUCAUUUCAAUUGUCAUAAUAUGGUACUCCUCAAAACAGGGUUUUGUUCUUCAUGGAAAGCGAUUCGAACGCUUCUAUUGUCUGAAGACUGUACUCAACAAAACUGGUUUUCUUUUUUGGGUGAAUGAAGCUACGUAAAGGGUGUUCGGAAAGAAUCUUUUAGAAAAAACAAAACAUUGGUUUCCCACAUUCCUUUCUGGGAACCCUGAUAUGAUACUGACACGUAGGCCUAUAACUGGUAUAAAAACAGAAGCCGCAACCCCCUUUUAGCAUUUAGUCCGGGUGCCUUGAAGAAAUGGAUUCAGAUGAUUGAAAAGUACAUGAGUUUGCGCCCCAGAAGUGGAAAAUGCAAUGCAUUUUAUCUCAGAUCAAAAAUCGCUCCUAAUGGGAAUGUAUGGUACGACGUCCCAGUCGGGGUACAUCAACUGCAAUAGAUUGUGGCCAAAAUGUUAAAGAGGCAGGAUUACAAAUCUCUCUUCGGGCUACUGCCGCUACACGCCUAUAUGCUGCGGGUGUUGACGAGCAAUUUAUAGCGGAAAAAAGUGGUUACAUGUCAUCUGUGAUUCGCAACUACAAACGCACCUCCGAGGAACAAUUACAGAGUGUAAGUGAUUUGAUUCAGAAACCGCCCAGUGUCCCCGCCGGAGCCGAAGAAAGUGAAGCUCAAUGAAAGUGUUUCCUAUGGAUCAGAAAAGGAAAUAAACAUCACUGCCGGGGAUGUAACAGUGAAUUUGCGAUUUUAAUGUGCAUGUGUUUAAAUGAAUGAUUGUGACAUGGAUUUAUAACUGUGGUGCCUGAACGAUUUCAUACACGGUAAAAUCGGAUUAUACAUGAAACACUCAUUUCGUAUAAUUUACUGGAAUAUUUCACGCCUUGAAUAUUGUAUUUGAUGUAUAAUAAAUGUUUUCUCGUACAACGAAGGGUG